GAUGAACGCUGGCGGCGUGCCUAAUACAUGCAAGUCGAGCGAACGGACGAGAAGCUUGCUUCUCUGAUGUUAGCGGCGGAGGGGUGAGUAACACGUGGAUAACCUACCUAUAAGACUGGGAUAACUUCGGGAAACCGGAGCUAAUACCGGAUAAUAUUUUGAACCGCAUGGUUCAAAGGUGAAAGACGGUCUUGCUGUCACUUAUAGAUGGAUCCGCGCUGCAUUAGCUAGUUGGUAAGGUAACGGCUUACCAAGGCAACGAUGCAUAGCCGACCUGAGAGGGUGAUCGGCCACACUGGAACUGAGACACGGUCCAGACUCCUACGGGAGGCAGCAGUAGGGAAUCUUCCGCAAUGGGCGAAAGCCUGACGGAGCAACGCCGCGUGAGUGAUGAAGGUCUUCGGAUCGUAAAACUCUGUUAUUAGGGAAGAACAUAUGUGUAAGUAACUGUGCACAUCUUGACGGUACCUAAUCAGAAAGCCACGGCUAACUACGUG
rnacentral:rRNA from 1 species